rnacentral:rRNA from 1 species
CUGGCUCAGGAUGAACGCUAGCUACAGGCUUAACACAUGCAAGUCGAGGGGCAGCAUUGGGGUAGCAAUACUCAGAUGGCGACCGGCGCACGGGUGAGUAACACGUAUCCAACCUGCCGCUUACUCGGGGAUAGCCUUUCGAAAGAAAGAUUAAUACCCGAUGGUAUAAAGAGUUCGCAUGUUCUCUUUAUUAAAGAAUUUCGGUAAGCGAUGGGGAUGCGUUCCAUUAGAUAGUUGGCGGGGUAACGGCCCACCAAGUCUACGAUGGAUAGGGGUUCUGAGAGGAAGGUCCCCCACAUUGGAACUGAGACACGGUCCAAACUCCUACGGGAGGCAGCAGUGAGGAAUAUUGGUCAAUGGACGAGAGUCUGAACCAGCCAAAAGUAGCGUGAAGGAUGACUGCCCUAUGGGUUGUAAACUUCUUUUAUAAGGGAAUAAAGUGAGGGACGUGUCCCUUUUUGUAUGUACCUUAUGAAUAAGGAUCGGCUAACUCCGUGCCAGCCGCCGC